AUUGAACGCUGGCGGCAUGCCUUACACAUGCAAGUCGAACGGCAGCACGGGUGCUUGCACCUGGUGGCGAGUGGCGAACGGGUGAGUAAUACAUCGGAACAUGUCCUGUAGUGGGGGGUAGCCCGGCGAAAGCCGGCUUAAUAACGCAUACGAUCUACGGAUGAAAGAGGGGGACCUUCGGGCCUCGCGCUGUAGGGUCUGCCGAUGGCUGAUUAGCUAGUUGGUGGGGUAAAGGACUACCAAGGCGACGGUCAGUAGCUGGUCUGAGAGGACGACCAGCCACACUGGGACUGAGACACGGCCCAGACUCCUACGGGAGGCAGCAGUGGGGAAUUUUGGACAAUGGACGAAAGCCUGAUCCAGCAAUGCCGCGUGUGUGAAGAAGGCCUUCGGGUUGUAAAGCACUGUUGUCCGGAAAGAAAUCCUUGGCCCUAAUACGGUCGGGGGAUGACGGUACCGGAAGAAUAAGCACCGGCUAACUACGUG
rnacentral:rRNA from 1 species